CGAGACCAUCCUGGCUAACGUGGUGAAACCCCCGUCUCUACUAAAAAUACAAAAAAAAAAAAAAUUAGCCAGGUGUGGUGGCGGGCUCCUGUAGUUCCAGCUACUCGGAAGACUGAGGCAGGAGAGUGGUGUGAACCCGGGAGACAGAGCUUGCAGUGAGCCGAGAUCGCACCACUGCACUCCAGCCUGGGCGACAGAGCGAGACUCUUGUCUCAAAAAUAAAAAUAAAAAUAAAAAUAAAAAUAAAAUAAAUAAAACCUGCUCUGAACAACUUUGUUCAUAUAGCUUUUCUAAUUUUUAAUUACAGAAUUAGGAUAACCAGAGAUUACGGCUCUUGAUCAUUAUUGCCAAACCUAGUCAUGGAGCAGCUAGAAGCUGAAGGAAGCUCUCUCCAUCGGCACUACAUACCCGAGAAGAAGA
rnacentral:lncRNA from 1 species